rnacentral:hammerhead_ribozyme from 1 species
AUCUAACUGACGAGUCCCGAAUAGGACGAAACGUGCUUCCUGGAU